rnacentral:tRNA from 1 species
GCCGGCAUAGCUCAGAUGGUAGAGCGCCCGCCUUGUAAGCGGGAUGCCGGGGGUUCGAUCCCUCCUGCCGGCACCA